rnacentral:tRNA from 1 species
UUCCUGGUGGUCCAGUGGCUAAGGCUCUGAAUUCCCAAUACAGGGGGCCAGGUUAGAUCCCUGGUCGGGGAA